rnacentral:lncRNA from 1 species
GUCCUGUUUGUUGCUCAUCCCCAGAUACGCAGCCUGGUCUACAGGAAGAAUUCUAUGUAUAUUUGCUGAAGAGACAAAGAAGGAUGUGGAUGAAUUGGAUGUGGAGAAUGAGAGGAAAGAAAAUGUCAAGGAUGGCUCUAAUUUCUGGCUUAUGCAACUGAGUGGUGCCAUUGAGAGAGACUCUCUCUCUUGCCUUCUUGGUUGGCACACUGGGGAGAAGCGAGCUGCAGCGUUGGAGAGGCCCAUGUGGCAAGGGACUGAGAGCAGCCUCUGGCCAACAGCCGGUAAGCAACCAGUGAGCAACCGAGGCCCUCAGUCCCACAGCAUGUGAGGAACUGAGUCCUGCCAAUGAUCAU